UACGUAGGGUGCGAGCGUUGUCCGGAAUUAUUGGGCGUAAAGGGCUCGUAGGCGGUCUGUCGCGUCGGCUGUGAAAUCCCGAGGCUCAACCUCGGGUCUGCAGUCGAUACGGGCAAACUAGAGUAUUGCAGGGGAGACUGGAAAUUCCUGGUGUAGCGGUGAAAUGCGCAGAUAUCAGGAGGAACACCGGUGGCGAAGGCGGGUCUCUGGGCAGUAACUGACGCUGAGGAGCGAAAGCGUGGGGAGCGAACAGG
rnacentral:rRNA from 1 species